rnacentral:rRNA from 1 species
UACGGAGGGUGCAAGCGUUAUCCGGAUUCACUGGGUUUAAAGGGUGCGUAGGUGGGCUAGUAAGUCAGUGGUGAAAUCUCCGGGCUUAACCCGGAAACUGCCAUUGAUACUAUUAGUCUUGAAUACCAUGGAGGUGAGCGGAAUACGUCAUGUAGCGGUGAAAUGCUUAGAUAUGACAUAGAACACCAAUUGCGAAGGCAGCUCGCUGCGUGGUUAUUGACACUGAGGCACGAAAGCGUGGGGAUCAAACAGG